rnacentral:rRNA from 1 species
CUCAGCAGCCAUAUCACCCUGCAACUCACAACUGGCAACCCAGUGAAGCUAAGCAGGUGUGAGCCUGGUUAGUACCUGGAUGGGAGACCUCCUAGGAAAAGGUUGCUGCUGGAA